UUUUCAUUGGAGAGUUUGAUCCUGGCUCAGGACGAACGCUGGCGGCGUGCUUAACACAUGCAAGUCGAACGGAAAGGCCCCUUGGGGGGUACUCGAGUGGCGAACGGGUGAGUAACACGUGAGUAACCUGCCCUUGACUUCGGGAUAACUUCAGGAAACUGGGGCUAAUACCGGAUAGGAAUCCUUGCUGCAUGGUGGGGGUUGGAAAGCUUCGGCGGUUUUGGAUGGACUCGCGGCUUAUCAGCUUGUUGGUGGGGUAGUGGCUUACCAAGGCUUUGACGGGUAGCCGGCCUGAGAGGGCGACCGGCCACAUUGGGACUGAGAUACGGCCCAGACUCCUACGGGAGGCAGCAGUGGGGAAUAUUGCACAA
rnacentral:rRNA from 1 species